rnacentral:rRNA from 1 species
GUAGGGUGCAAGCGUUAAUCGGAAUUACUGGGCGUAAAGCGUGCGCAGGCGGGUUUGUAAGUCUGUCGUGAAAGCCCCGGGGCUUAACCUGGGAAUUGCGAUGGAGACUGCAAGGCUUGAAUCUGGCAGAGGGGGGUAGAAUUCCACGUGUAGCAGUGAAAUGCGUAGAGAUGUGGAGGAACACCGAUGGCGAAGGCAGCCCCCUGGGUCAAGAUUGACGCUCAUGCACGAAAGCGCGGGGAGCAAACAGGAUUAGAUACCCUGGUAGUCCACGCCCUAAACGAUGUCUACUAGUUGUCGGGUCUUAAUUGACUUGGUAACGCAGCUAACGCGUGAAGUAGACCGCCUGGGGAGUACGGUCGCAAGAUUA